rnacentral:rRNA from 1 species
GAUGAACGCUGGCGGCGUGCUUAACACAUGCAAGUCGAACGAGAAGUGAAGACGGAAACCUUCGGGCGGAAGGCUUUAUUUCGAGUGGCGGACGGGUGAGUAACGCGUGGGUAACCUGCCUCAUACAGGGGGAUAACAGUUGGAAACGACUGUUAAUACCGCAUAAGACCACAGCACCGCAUGGUGCGGGGGUAAAAACUCCGGUGGUAUGAGAUGGACCCGCGUUCGAUUAGCCAGUUGGCGGGGUAACGGCCCACCAAAGCGACGAUCGAUAGCCGAUCUGAGAGGAUGACCGGCCACAUUGGGACUGAGACACGGCCCAAACUCCUACGGGAGGCAGCAGUGGGGAAUAUUGCACAAUGGGGGAAGCCCUGAUGCAGCGACGCCGGGUGAGUGAAGAAGUAUUUCGGUAUGUAAAGCGCUAUCAGCAGGGAAGAAAAUGACGGUACCUGAGUAAGAAGCCCCGGCUAACUACGUG